CUCAGACUUCCGCUCCCUGCUAAGUCCCAGGUCCACGGAGUGUCCUUCCUUUGGCCCUGGGGACAGGCGCGUCUGUCCUUUCUCGAAAGAGCAAAACAGUGAAAAAGCAGAAGGAGCAGGUGCACAGAUCUCAUCCCGAAGCAGUCACUGGGUUCCCACAGGAUCUUCCUAUGUAGCUGUGAUGGCCAACCGUGUUUGUCAACUUGACCACAUCUGGCAUCAACUAAAACCCAAGCAGCUGGGCAACUGGUGAGGGAUUUUUUCUUUCCCUUGGAUAAUUUCAAGCGGGGAGACCCAGUCCAAAUCUGCUCAGUCCAUAUAAAGGAAGAAGAAAGCUUUUGCUUUUUGCCUGCUUGCCCUCUUGCCGUGCUGAAAGUAUAUUCUGUACUUAGGUCUUCACCCAUGUUAGGAAACAAAAACAAAAGUCACAACAAACAAGCAAACAAGACAAAGGAAAAUCAAAAACCAAAAUAAAACAAAAACUGAUGAAGAGUGUGCUGGAACACCCUCCCUGCACCAUGGACAUUGAAUUUGUGCCUAAGUAGAGAAGCAUGAAAUUGCCAGAUGCCAAACGGGGCUAGCUAGCACUUUGAGAUGGCUGGACUCUGUGAAUCCAUGGCAGCCUAGCACUGAAUCUGGAGCCACUGCACAGAUCCACCUGGAACCAAACAAUAAAUUGCUGUGUGUUGGACAAACCACCACCAGAAAAGAGGAGGCUGCUGUAGCUGUACAGAAACCAUCGUACCAUUGUGAACAGCUGGAAUGCACUAGGUGCUAGUGCCUGGCACUCUAGUUUCGUAGUGUCCUAGUUUCUGCUCUUUGUCCAACAUCUGUCGGGUGGUUUUAUUAUGUGGCUGUUAUUCCCACUCUCAGAACUGCUCCACAGGUUUUAUUUACUCUUCUUCUGCCACAAGGUGCCCUGCUCCUGCUUUCACUUUCCAGUUGCUGUUCAGGGACAGGGUCGGGGAAAAGAGCAUCUGGACACCAUAUCUUUUUGAGUUCCUUCACACACCUUUCCCUCUAUGUUCUGUAUUUUCUAGAUUAUGAGCACUUAAAUUUAAGUUACAUGUGGUAAAUUAAGGUGUGACUCUUUUAAAUCAAGGGACUCUCCUUAAGUGAGAAAUUCAUCCUUAGCACUAUAAUGUUUGUCUCUUAUUUAGACUGAGGAACAUAAAAUGGAUUAGCCGAUUAAAAUAUUGAAGAAAAGGAGGGCCAGAGGAAAUGUCUGAAGAGAAUAUUAGAGGUGCAACAGAGAAGAUCCCCACACCUUAUAUAAUCAAUAGACAUUGGCUUCUUUCCUAGCCAUUCAAGCUUCAGUGUUUACUCAAGACAUUUAAAAAUUUAUGGUGGGUCCGGUGUGAUAAUCAGUUAGAGUGAUGUUGUUGAGAAUGGUUAGAUGUUGGUUAGAGUGAUAUUGUUGAGUCUGAUGGGCUCCUUUUUCUCACGAUGGCACAUGAAAGAAGAGAGGAUACAGGAAUCAAGGUCUUAUCAGUGACAGCAGCUAGCCUGCCAGGCCUUUCCUCAUGGUUGCUUAAGAGGCAAGGAGAGAAAAACAAUGGAAACUCGCCAGACGAUGCUCCAGAAAAGAAGGUAGCAACACAGAUAAGAACUGUGUCCAAUAUAUCUUCUUUUGCUUUACAGAUAGGUGGCUGUUUAUCUUUAACAAAGGUUCCUACAGGCUGAAUCCUUAUGUACUGUUAACUCUUCAAUCAACAUAUCUUACAAAAGAUAUGUCUGCUAUUGUUUUGUAUUUGAGCCUGGCCUGAAUAUAAAUCAGAUAAUAGAGAAAAAUG